rnacentral:rRNA from 1 species
AUUGAACGCUGGUGGCAGGCCUAACACAUGCAAGUCGAACGAGUGGCGGACGGGUGAGUAAUGUCUGGGACACUGCCUGAUGGAGGGGGAUAACUACUGGAAACGGUAGCUAAUACCGCAUACCAUCGGAUGUGCCCAGAUGGGAUUCGCUAGUAGGUGGGGUAAAGGCUCACCUAGGCGACGAUCCCUAGCUGGUCUGAGAGGAUGACCAGCCACACUGGAACUGAGACACGGUCCAGACUCCGACGGGAGGCAGCAGUGGGGAAUAGUGCACAAUGGGCGAAAGCCUGAUGCAGCCAUGCGGCGUGUAGGAAGAAGGCCUUCGGGUUGUAAAGUACUUUCAGCGGGGAGGCGUUACCCGCAGAAGAAGAACCGGCUAACUCCGUGCCAGCAGCCGCGGUAAUUC